rnacentral:rRNA from 1 species
GCAGGCUGGAACUCGCCUGCAUGAAGUUGGAUUCGCUAGUAAUCGCGCAUCAGCCAUGGCGCGGUGAAUACGUUCCCGGGCCUUGUACACACCGCCCGUCAAGCCAUGAAAUCGGGGGGUGCUUGAAGUACGCUUACCGCAAGGGGCGUCCUAAGGCAAAACCGAUAAUUGGGGCUAAGUCGUAACAAGGUAGC